GCAAGUCGAGCGCACCUUCGGGUGAGCGGCGGACGGGUUAGUAACGCGUGGGAACGUACCCUUCUCUAUGGAAUAGCCAUUGGAAACGAUGAGUAAUACCAUAUACGCCCUUCGGGGGAAAGAUUUAUCGGAGAAGGAUCGGCCCGCGUUAGAUUAGAUAGUUGGUGGGGUAAUGGCCUACCAAGCCGACGAUCCAUAGCUGGUUUGAGAGGAUGAUC
rnacentral:rRNA from 1 species